UACGAAGGGGGCUAGCGUUACUCGGAUUGACUGGGCGUAAAGGGCGCGUAGGCGGUUUGUACAGUCAGACGUGAAAUUCCUGGGCUCAACCUGGGGGCUGCGUUUGAUACGGGCAGACUUGAGUUCGGAAGAGGGUCGUGGAAUUCCCAGUGUAGAGGUGAAAUUCGUAGAUAUUGGGAAGAACACCGGUGGCGAAGGCGGCGACCUGGUCCGAUACUGACGCUGAGGCGCGAAAGCGUGGGGAGCAAACAGG
rnacentral:rRNA from 1 species